UGGGCAGACCGGUUAUUGCAUGUUUAAGUUAGUUUAAAACAAGUAAUUUCCUGUCACCAGCAGGUGGCGGUAUGAUUAUAACUGAAAUAUUGGCCUUAAAAUCUGUUGAGACUAGGAAUCUUAUCAAACAUGUGAAGUUUAGGGCAGAUCAGACAUUUCAUGUUUAAGUUAGUUUAAAAUAAGUUAUUUCCUGUUGCCAGCAGGUGGCACUAUAAUUAUAAUUGAAUAUUGGCCUUUAAAUGUGUUCAGGCCAGGACACUUAUCAAACAUGUGAAGUUUGGGCAAGAUCGGACAUUUUAUGCCUGAGUUACAAUAACUUUUAUUCCCAUGGCGAGACAUCGAACUUUGUGACGGCGCCAUGGACACGCCCUUUAACGAAAACUCAAGAUCUUCACAAUUUAACAUCGCACAGGCCUUUAGAAUAGAGUGACUGAAAAAAAAAGUAUUAUGUCAUAAAAUUUCUCGGGGUAGUUUGUUACAGCGUAAAAUAUGUCAUUUCCUGUUGCCAGUAGGUGGCGCUAUGACUUUAACUGAAUAUUGGCAUAUCAAUCUGUUCAGAUCAGGAGUCUUAUCAAACAUGUGAAGUUUGUGGCAGAUUGGACAUUGUAUGUCUGAGUUAUAGCAACUUCAUUUUUCAUGGCGAAUCAUCGAAAUUCGUCAGGCCGCCACGGACACGCC
ensembl:lncRNA